AGGACGGCAGCAGGCGCGGAACUUGCCCAAUGCGCGCGCGCGAGGCAGCGACGGGGAGUGCGCGAGCGAGGCGGGCCCACAGCCCCCGCCGCGGAGCCGAGGGCAAGGUCUGGUGCCAGCAGCCGCGGUAAUUCCAGCUCGGCGGGCGUCGCGUGGCGCUGCUGCAGUUAAAACGCCCGUAGUUGGCCCCCCGCCGCCACGAGGAAACGGGAGCGCUCCAGGCAGGCCCGUUGGACCCGCCGCGUGGGACCGCGCAGCGGGCGCGGCGCGCCGCGGCAGCCCCGAGGAGAGCGGGCGGGGGCACCGGUACCGGCCGGGGACGGGUGAAACAGGAUGAUCCCGCCGAGACCGCCGGCCGCGCAGGCGCCUGCCAAGACCGCCUCUGUCAAUCAAGGGCGAAGGCCGGGGGCUAGAAAGGCGAUCAGACACCAC
rnacentral:rRNA from 1 species